rnacentral:rRNA from 1 species
GGAAUAUUGGGCAAUGGGCGAGAGCCUGACCCAGCCAUGCCGCGUGCAGGAAGAAGGCCUUCUGGGUUGUAAACUGCUUUUGAUCGGGAACAAAGAGCCCAUGCGUGGGAAGUUGAGUGUACCGAUAGAAUAAGCACCGGCUAACUCCGUGCCAGCAGCCGCGGUAAUACGGAGGGUGCAAGCGUUGUCCGGAUUUAUUGGGUUUAAAGGGUGCGUAGGCGGGCCCUGUAAGUCAGUGGUGAAAUACUGCAGCUUAACUGUAGCAUUGCCAUUGAUACUGUGGGGCUUGAGUACAGAUGAGGUAGGCGGAAUUGAUGGUGUAGCGGUGAAAUGCAUAGAUACCAUCAAGAACACCGAUUGCGAAGGCAGCUUACUAAGCUGUAACUGACGCUGAGGCACGAAAGUGUGGGGAUCGAACAGGAUUAGAUACCCUGGUAGUCCACACUGUAAACGAUGAUUACUCGAUGUUCGCGAUAUACAGUGA